rnacentral:rRNA from 1 species
UCCUGUUUAAUCUUAGUGGCGGACGGGUGAGUAACGCGUGGGCAACCUGCCUCAUACUGGGGGAUAACAGUUGGAAACGACUGUUAAUACCGCAUAAGCGCACAGAGUUGCAUGACUCAGUGUGAAAAACUCCGGUGGUAUGAGAUGGGCCCGCGUCAGAUUAGCUAGUUGGUGAGGUAAAGGCCCACCAAGGCGACGAUCUGUAGCCGGAGUGAGAGGUCGGAUGGCCACAUUGGGACUGAGACACGGCCCAAACUCCUACGGGAGGCAUCAGUGGGGGAUAUUGCACAAUGGAGGAAACUCUGAUGCAGAGACCCCGCGUGAGUGAAGAAGUAUUUCGGUAUGUAAAGCUCUAUCAGCAGGGAAGAAAGGCUCGCAAGAGAGAUGACGGUACCUGACUAAGAAGCCCCGGCUAAAUACGUGCCAGCAGCCGCGGUAAUACGUAGGGGGCAAGCGUUAUCCGGAUUUACUGGGUGUAAAGGGAGCGCAGACGGUUAAGCAAGUCUGAAGUGAAACCCCACGGCUCAACCGUGGGCUUGCUUUGGAAACUGUUUGGCUAGAGUAUUGGAGAGGUAAGCGGAAUUCCUAGUGUAGCGGUGAAAUGCGUAGAUAUUAGGAGGAACAUCGGUGGCGAAGGCGGCUUAC